CGGACCGGCGCACGGGUGAGUAACGCGUAUCCAACCUGCCACCACUUGGGGAGUAACCUUGCGAAAGUAAGACUAAUACCCAAUGAUAUCUCUAGAAGACAUCUGAAAGAGAUUAAAGAUUUAUCGGUGAUGGAUGGGGAUGCGUCUGAUUAGCUUGUUGGCGGGGUAACGGCCCACCAAGGCAACGAUCAGUAGGGGUUCUGAGAGGAAGGUCCCCCACAUUGGAACUGAGACACGGUCCAA
rnacentral:rRNA from 1 species